AAAAAAAAAAAAAAAAAGACAAAUAACAACAUAAGUUAAAACACAUUACUUUGCAUCUAUAGAUACUUAUUUAAACUUUUUAAAACUAGAAAUAGUCUUUUAGUCUCCUUGGUGCUCGUGCAUAACCACUUGCACAAUUAGUGCUUAGCAUUUUUGGAUGAGGGCCCUACUUCAUUCUUUCAAAGCAUGAAUACAAUCCUGGAUUUGUUGCAUGUAAUUUUCACCUCCUUCAGAACAAGAGCAUGUGGAUGUUUACAAAAGCCGACCAGGGUUGCUCUUGCUAAAGCUUGGCAUUCUCUACACGUUGAAUUACUUGCUCAAUUUCUUAAAAGUUUGUUUGCGUUAUCCAUAUCUACUCAAAAUGUCUAAGUGGCCUUUGCCAAAUACAAAUUAAACAAACUUCUAUUUAUACACCUUAGAAGUCUUUAACUUACCGGUAAUAAAGUUAUUCUUAUUUGAGUAAGAUGGUUCAAACUUUGCUUUCCUUGAAUAUGACACCCCAUCUAUUAGAUUUUGUUGAAUAAUUAUCUUUAAUUUGAGUAUAAAAGGCCCAACCUAAAGAGCGAAUGGUCCUUUAUAUUUUACGGGUUUCGAAACAUGACUUGACACUAAUGAGAAUUAAUUAGACUAGUACCUACCAAGAGCUAUCAAAAUACAUUCAGCUAAUUCUCACUCAACAGCUAGAAAGCAAGUCAGCACAAAAUCACGGGAUUUGUACUCGUUUAUGUACUCCACCACUAGCCAUCAAAGCACACUCCGUCAAUAGUCAAUCUUCAGCUCCUAACCCCAAGUACAAAACCACGUGAUUCGUCGUCUUGUGCCCCUUCAGCUUUGUCAUCCUCUAGCUACUCUAUAAUUGGCUUCUACAUAUCUUUUUUUACUAGCUUAUUUGCACCCAACUACAUUAUAAGUUCCCCUCAAUUAAUUCUCACUUGACAACUCCAUCAUUACCUACGUGAGACUGAAGCUAGCUCUCUUUAAUGAUCUAAUUAGAUGCUUGCUUUUUCCCCAGAAAAGACAAAUAAAACCCCUUUCCAACUCGCUUUAUCAGUCCACUAACACCAAUUGCACCAAGUUAUUAUAGCAUUAGCUAUAGCAAUAACCAAUACAAUGACUUAGGUGUUAAUCUUUAUCUCAAGAUACUUAAAGAAUUACUUAUAUUUUGGCCUAUUUACAAAAGAGUUAGAACAUAUUAAUAAGUUAGGUAAAUCCACCCAGUAAACUAAAAAAAUCUUUAGAAUAAAUAAAAAGGUAAAUCUACCAUAGGUAGAGAAUGUGGUUAAGUAAUGUAUUAAACAAACUCAAGUCUCUUAAGACAAGAUUUAUUUGUUAGAACAUCCUAGGUAAAGCCAAGCCCAGUGAAAGGAAUCGACAUAAGUUUUGUUGGAUUCAGCAAUGACUCAGUGUAUCCAGUGUUCCAAUCCCAUCCAAAAGAUAGUCAUUAACGAAACCUUUGGCUGUUGAUUACUAAUAGUAGAGAGGGUUUCAUACCAAUGGAAGCGUAUAUAUUAAUAGCGAUUUAUGAUGAACUCAAGAUUGAUUAAAACCACAGUUAAACUAAGUACAGCGAUAGGAGGCAUUUUAAAUUUCUUAUUUGAUAAUAUGCAAAAAUAUAGUUUAUGUACGAUAGAUUACAGUGUGGCAAAAUUAUGAUCAUAUUCUUUCAUAUCUAUAGGAAUAUUCAAUGAAGAGAUUGAUCAUGAUGAAGAUCAGGA
rnacentral:misc_RNA from 1 species